rnacentral:rRNA from 1 species
AGCAGCCGCGGUAAUUCCAGCUCCAAUAGCGUAUAUUAAAGUUGUUGCAGUUAAAAAGCUCGUAGUUGAAUUUCGGGGUUAGUAGGUUGGUCAUGCCUCUGGUAUGUACUGGUCUCACUGAUUCCUCCUUCCUGAUGAGCCGUAAUGCCAUUAAUUUGGUGUUGCGGGGAAUUUGGACUGUCACUUUGAAAAAUUAGAGUGUUUAAAGCAGGCUUUAGCUUGAAUACAUUAGCAUGGAAUAAUGAAAUAGGACGUUUGAUCCUAUUUUGUUGGUUUCUAGGAUUGACGUAAUGAUUAAUAGGGAUAGUUGGGGGCAUUAGUAUUCAAUUGUCAGAGGUGAAAUUCUUGGAUUUAUUGAAGACUAACUACUGCGAAAGCAUUUGCCAAGGAUGUUUUCAUUAAUCAAGAACGAAAGUUAGGGGAUCGAAGACGAUCAGAUACCGUCGUAGUCUUAACCAUAAACUAUGCCGACUAGGGAUCGGAUGAUGUUAAUUUUUUAAUGACUCAUUCGGCGCCUUGC